rnacentral:rRNA from 1 species
UACGUAGGGUGCGAGCGUUGUCCGGAAUUACUGGGCGUAAAGGGCUUGUAGGUGGGUUGUCGCGUUGUUCGUGAAAUCUCACGGCUUAACUGUGAGCGUGCGGGCGAUACGGGCAGACUAGAGUACUGCAGGGGAGACUGGAAUUCCUGGUGUAGCGGUGGAAUGCGCAGAUAUCAGGAGGAACAUCCGUGGCGAAGGCGGCUCUCUGGGACGGUACUGACGCUGAGACGCGAAAGCGUGGGGAGCAAACAGG